rnacentral:rRNA from 1 species
AUGAGUCCAGCCAGUCUAUUGGUAUUUAAGUUCAAUAUUGUAGAUGAUAAUGAGGAUAUCCAAGAUGAGGAUUUUGGUGACAAUGAGGUCAAUGCAACACAAUCCAGGAAAUUUGUUAGUGCAAGGGAGUACUACUGCUUCAAGCUACAGGUCAGGAAGAAGCUUUUUAACUUCAUCUUGUUUGGUGGGCGCCUUUUCCAACAGUGGGCGGUUGAUAUGUAUAUCAAGAUUGAGACUAUGAGGUUGGACUGGUACUCAAAGCCAGAAAAUCAAAAGGUUAUACGAUCUGAUCUCUACCAGGGUCUUGUUGACACCAUCGUUGCCGGCGAGUCACGCGGUGAUCGAAUUGGCAAGAGAAUCGUGCUUCCACGUACGUUUCCUGGUGGUGAUCGC